AUUGAACGCUGGCGGCAUGCCUUACACAUGCAAGUCGAACGGCAGCACGGGAGCAAUCCUGGUGGCGAGUGGCGAACGGGUGAGUAAUAUAUCGGAACGUGCCCAGUCGUGGGGAUAACGUAGCGAAAGCUACGCUAAUACCGCAUACUAUCUAUGGAUGAAAGCGGGGGAUCGCAAGACCUCGCGCGAUUGGAGCGGCCGAUAUCAGAUUAGGUAGUUGGUGAGGUAAAGGCUCACCAAGCCGACGAUCUGUAGCUGGUCUGAGAGGACGACCAGCCACACUGGGACUGAGACACGGCCCAGACUCCUACGGGAGGCAGCAGUGGGGAAUUUUGGGACAAAUGGGCGCAAGCCUGAUCCAGCAAUGCCGCGUGCAGGAUGAAGGCCUUC
rnacentral:rRNA from 1 species